GGGGACGCAAUGGGUUCGACAGGGAUUAUGAGUUUAAGUAAGCGAGUAGCGGGGCGGGACGCUUUAAACAACGCAAACUAAAUUUUAAAUGACAAAAAUAAAAAUAACGUAGUUAAGGCAAACUUUGGUAAAAAGAAGGUAGCUUUAGCAGCCUAGUUAUAGGCAACGUCUUUAUCUUGAGUACCGCGGCUUGAUAGGGGCGUCGACUAGCGGUGAACGUGAAUUGGGCAGUUUUCCGGGCUCGGUCAUGACUUAGGAAAUACUCUAAUAUCAAGCUUUCCGUUUGGCUUAAUGUUGGGGGAAUCUUUGACAAUCGGAUACACUCGUAGAAAGCUUAGGUUAGUAAUUUUUGGACAGGGGUUCGAUUCCCCUCGUCUCCACCA
rnacentral:tmRNA from 1 species